rnacentral:lncRNA from 1 species
CACCCGCAAUUCCCCCAAGGACCUCCCCUGACCCCCGCUUUCCCUCAGGAGCUGCGUUCCCAUGGGGGAGCCCCCCUGGACCCUUUUGAGGUGUUCACGUUCCACACCUGCAGCACCAUCGCACGCCUCCUCUUCGGGGACCUGGUGCCCCCGCCAGGGGAACUCCGGGCCUUCUCCUGCUGUCUGGGGGAGCUGCUGCAGGUUUGGGGGCGCAGCACUGUGCGGGCUCUUGAUCUGCUGCCCCCGCUGCGGGCCCUACCCAACCCGGGGCUGCGGGAGCUGCUGCGGCUUGUCCAGCACCGUGACGCCUUUGUGGAGGCCCAGAUCCGG